UUCAGACAGAGAGCUUUUGUUCCCCUCUUGCCCAGUUGUCACUCUGCACGCAAGAGUAACAGGAGAUGUGCUGCCUGACCCAUGGGCUGGGAUAAAUGGGGCUGGUUCUGUUUGGUUCCACAGGGCUUGGCCAGCCAAUAUAGGGAGGUACAGCUCUCCUAAGAAAAGGUUCACAUGGACAACUGCUGCUUUCUGACCCCUCUGCAGGGAUUUCUGAGGGUGAUGAGCAUUCAAGCAGGAGCAGAGUGGAAAAGGAGAUUUUAUCCAAGCAGAACUGAAGACCACACACACUUUUAUGGCUUUUUGGGUAUUCUGCAGCAGCUGUGAUCAGGAAGUUCUGCAUCCAGGACUCUUGAACAUAUUCAUUGGAACCUUCACACAAACACCCCCGGUCAGUGGGCUCAUCUCUGGGAUGGAGACAAGUACUGAACUUUCAGGCAUGGAAACAAGUCUUAAGGCACUUUGUGCUCCUUCAUGGGAAGCAA